UACAGAGGGUGCGAGCGUUAAUCGGAAUUACUGGGCGUAAAGCGCACGUAGGCGGCUUGGUAUGUCGGGUGUGAAAUCCCCGGGCUCAACCCGGGAACUGCGUCCGAUACUGGAAGGCUUGAAUCCGGGAGAGGGAUGUGGAAUUCCAGGUGUAGCGGUGAAAUGCGUAGAUAUCUGGAGGAACACCGGUGGCGAAGGCGACAUCCUGGACCGGUAUUGACGCUGAGGCGCGAAAGCCAGGGGAGCAAACGGG
rnacentral:rRNA from 1 species